rnacentral:misc_RNA from 1 species
GGAGGGAUCAUUAGUGAGACUUAGCGCUCCAACCCUUGCAAACCUACCAUUGCGGCGUUGUUUCGGCGGGUGUGCCAGCGGAUUCGUCCGCCGGCAUGCCGCCCGGCCAGCGGAGCCCGCCGGCAGCGCCAAACUCUUCAGUUUUUUAGUGGAAGUCUUCUGAGUGGCAAAAAAAACAAGCAAAACUUUCAACAACGGAUCUCUUGGUUCUGGCAUCGAUGAAGAACGCAGCGAAAUGCGAUAAGUAAUGUGAAUUGCAGAAUUCAGUGAAUCAUCGAAUCUUUGAACGCACAUUGCGCCCGGUGGUAUUCUGCCGGGCAUGCCUGUUCGAGCGUCAUUUCUUCCCUCAGGCCCUGCCGCUCAGCGGUAGAAGGGUUCUGGUUUUGGGGCAUGCAGCGCCCGCUGCAGCUCCCAAUUGCAUCGGCGUACACUGUAUGCUGCCCCCUGCGUAGUGGUUACUUCUCGCAUCGGGCCGUGCCGUAGUGCUGCCGCAACACCUAUUCUUUCUAAGUUUGACCUCGGAUCAGGUAGGGAUACCCGCUGAACUUAAGCAUAUCAAUAAGCGGAGGAAAAGAAACCAACAGGGAUUGCCCUAGUAACGGCGAGUGAAGCGGCAACAGCUCAAAUUUGAAAUCUGGCGCUUGCGCCCGAGUUGUAAUUUGCAGAGGAUGCUUCUUGCGCGGUGCCUUCCGAGUUCCCUGGAACGGGACGCCAUAGAGGGUGAGAGCCCCGUACGGUCGGUAACCAAGCUAUUGUGUAGCACCUUCGACGAGUCGAGUAGUUUGGGAAUGCUGCUCAAAAUGGGAGGUAAAUUCCUUCUAAAGCUAAAUAUUGGCCAGAGACCGAUAGCGCACAAGUAGAGUGAUCGAAAGAUGAAAAGCACUUUGAAAAGAGGGUUAAACAGCACGUGAAAUUGUUGAAAGGGAAGCGCUUGUGACCAGACUUGGGCCUGGUAGUUCAGCCGUCCUUCUGGGCGGUGCACUCUGCCGGUUCAGGCCAGCAUCAGUUGCUAGUCGGGGAGAAAGACAGUGGGAACGUGGCUCUUCGGAGUGUUAUAGCCCGCUGUUAUGCCCUUCCGGCGACUGAGGAUAGCGUUCUGCACGGAUGCUGGCGUAAUGGUCAUCAGCGACCCGUCUUGAAACACGGACCAAGGAGUCUAACAUGCCUGCGAGUGUUUGGGUGUCAAACCCCUACGCGAAAUGAAAGUGAACGGAGGUGAGAGCUUCGGCGCAUCAUCGACCGAUCCUGAUGUCUUCGGAUGGAUUUGAGUAAGAGCAUAUUGGGCUGGACCCGAAAGAAGGUGAACUAUGCUUGGAUAGGGCAAAGCCAGAGGAAACUCUGGUGGAGGCUCGCAGCGGUUCUGACGUGCAAAUCGAUCGUCAAAUCUGAGCAUGGGGGCGAAAGACUAAUCGAACCUUCUAGUAGCUGGUUUCCGC